UGUUAGCUAACGCAGAUUAAAGAUUAAUUAAUCUUUAAUCUGUGUUAGCUAACAAAUAUUAAGACAUUAAACUUUAAUGUUUUAAUAGUAUGGUUGACCCAUCAGUUUGACAAACCUCAAGUACUUUUAACAGCCAUACUUUCCUUUUAUAAGCUAAAACGAUUGCUAAACAUAUUUAUUUUAUUGAAAGUAAAUAUAGAGUAGUUAGUUUAGCAACCAAAUUCAAUAAAGCUUGUUGAAGAAACUUCAAUGAAGUCUUAAUAAGUAUUCUAAUUUGUUUUUUUGCUUGUUUGUUUAUGUUUAGAAAAAUGACAAGGAAUGCAAGCAUUGGGAGAAGCUUUGAGCUUUGCAAAGUGCUGUAUAUGAAGGAAGGUACCUAAAGAUAGAUUUAUGUAACAUAGACACCCGAAAAUUGCGAUAUAGGUUGACAUCUAUUUCAAAUGAUAUCAAAAAUUAACUUUGAAUAUGGGUGUAUGUAAAAACACUGGCAACCAGCUUGUAUGCCAAUAUAUAAAAGUCUCAUUGACCCAUGUUUCAGUGUAUGCUGAUGUAGCUUCUAAAAUGUGAGAGGGCAAGGAAAUUAGACGUUACAGUACUUUUCACAAACUAAUCUGGCUUUAGUCUAUAUACUACAAGAAGUAAUAAGAAAAAUCAAUUUCAGAAGAUUACCAAUUCUUUCUUCCUGGCAUCUUUCAAAAACUCUUAAAAGUGAAUUUGGCAUUGACAGAUACUAAAUGGCGAUAAUUAUGUUAUAUCAGCAAAACGAAAAAUGAACAGUUUUAGUCUUCAACGGUUGAAAUUACUCAGCAAACAUGAAUUCAUUGAAGAAACUGAUUGUCGUUGCUCUAGCAUAAAGAUCGUUUCACGAUCGACCUGAUAAAAGAUGAAAUUACUUAUAUAUGUGAUUAAUUAAAAAAAGACAAUUAGUUUGUAAAUAAUCAGGUGAAUGGUAGCCUUUAUUAUAUGGCUGGUUGUGUUCAGCACAGGAUGUUGUGCAUAGUUAAUGUAACAAUAUCAGUUUUUCAGUUCCAAAAUUAAAAAUUAUGUUUCACAUAGUAAA